rnacentral:rRNA from 1 species
UUUCGCAAUGCCCGAAAGGGUGACGAAGCGACGCCGCGUGGGUGAGGAAGGCCUUCGGGUUGUAAAGCCCUGUCAGGAGUUAUGAAAUGUAAGUGCGCUAAUAUCGUGCUUAUUUGACAAAGGCUCCAAAGGAAGCCACGGCUAACUCUGUGCCAGCAGCCGCGGUAAUACAGAGGUGGCGAGCGUUGUUCGGAAUUAUUGGGCGUAAAGAGCACGUAGGUGGGUUUGCAAGUCAGAUGUGAAAGCCUUCUGUUCAACGGAAGAAUUGCAUCUGAAACUGCUAAUCUUGAGUAUAGGAGGGGAGAAUGGAACUUCUGGUGGAGCGGUGAAAUGCGUAGAUAUCAGAAGGAACGCCGGCGGCGAAAGCGAUUCUCUGGCCUAUUACUGACACUCAGUGUGCGAAAGCUAGGGGAGCAAACGGGAUUAGAUACCCCGAUAGUCCUAGCCGUAAACGAUGGGCACUAAGUAGAGGGGUUUUA